UUUUUUGUUUUCUGUGUCAUGAUAACUCCGUUAUUAGCCUUUUAUCGUCUUGUUUAUAUUUUUGAGCCGGCAUGAAGCCGGCUUUUUUU
rnacentral:sRNA from 18 species